UACGUAGGUCCCGAGCGUUGUCCGGAUUUAUUGGGCGUAAAGCGAGCGCAGGUGGUUUAUUAAGUCUGGUGUAAAAGGCAGUGGCUCAACCAUUGUAUGUAUUGGAAACUGGUAGACUUGAGUGCAGGAGAGGAGAGUGGAAUUCCAUGUGUAGCGGUGAAAUGCGUAGAUAUAUGGAGGAACACCGGUGGCGAAAGCGGCUCUCUGGCCUGUAACUGACACUGAGGCUCGAAAGCGAGGGGAGCAAACAGG
rnacentral:rRNA from 1 species